AGUGAACGCUGGCGGCAGGCCUAACACAUGCAAGUCGAGCGGCAGCGGGUCCCCGCGAGGGGAUGCCGGCGAGCGGCGGACGGGUGAGGAACACAUCGGAAUCUGCCUGGUUGUGGGGGGAUAACGUAGGGAAACUUACGCUAAUACCGCAUGCGACCCUGAGUCGACGGACUGGGGGUGAAAGUGAGGGACCUUCGGGCCUCACGCGACCAGAUGAGCCGAUGUCGGAUUAGCUAGUUGGCGGGGUAACGGCCCGCCAAGGCGACGAUCCGUAGCUGGUCUGAGAGGAUGAUCAGCCACACUGGGACUGAGACACGGCCCAGACUCCUACGGGAGGCAGCAGUGGGGAAUCUUGGACAAUGGGCGCAAGCCUGAUCCAGCCAUGCCGCGUGGGUG
rnacentral:rRNA from 1 species